UCGAAAAGUCAUAAAACCAAAAACCAUUCUCUCUCGCUCGCUCACUCACAUAAUUCAGACUCCCCUCGCAAAACCCAAAAUCAUAAAACGACAAAAAACCAACCCCUAACCCUAGAUUUCCCUGAUGGCCAGCGAAGCCCAAGACUCGCAUCGCAAGCACCGCCGGGCCUCUUCCGACGACGACGAGGCCGAGAAGUCGUCGAAGCGCCACAAGCACCGUCACCACCAUCGCCACCACCGUCACCGUCAUGGCAGCAAAAAGCGCGAAGGCGAUAUCAAGCCGGCCGUUGACGAUAUUGAAGCUCCUCUGGCGGCUGUUCUGUUAUCUUCUUCAGGUGCCAAUAGUUCUAGGCCAGAUGAAGACGUGGAGGAAGGCGAAAUUCUUGAGGAGGAGGGUGUCGGUAGUCACGACGACGGCGUCUUGAAGACGACAGCCGGCUCUGAUGCCGAGUCUGGUGAAAUUGAGGCUCUUGGAGUUCGCGAUCAGUCUGAUAAUCGAAAUCUGGGAAUUUUUGUCGAUAACAUUGAUAAUAAUUCAAAAACCAUGAGAGAGCACUGUAGUGACGAUGAUACUCGAAUUCAUGUUGGUGGUAAGUCUCGGGAUGAGACUGGGUUGCCUAGACAUUCCAGUGUUGAGCCUCAAGAUGAUUUAGCUUCCAGAUUAGGCAUAGAGGAUCAUGCCAAUGGCAAUUCCCACGGGUUUCACAAAGAGGAGAAGAGGCGGCACAGGGAAUCUGGGUUGCCUUCUAAAGAAAGUGAUAAGCGAAAGCAUUACUAUGAUGAUGAAAAAGUGGAUGAUGAUAGAAGCAAAGUAGCUAAUCGAAAAAAGCCAUCCUCUGGAAGUAGUGGAGACAAGCACAAGAUCUUGGUACGUUCACCAUCUCGUGAUAGGUGCGGGGAUGAUUUAUAUGGUAGGAGCAGAUCGAGAUCAUAUGAUCAUGUGAGGGAGAGAUCAUGCUCCCGCAGUAGAGUAGAAGAGGAGGCCCUUUCUAAAAGGAGACGUUAUCAUGAACGAGACACUGCAGUAUCUGCAGAGAAAAGUAAGGCUACGUUCGACUCUGGUGAUGAAGGAAUGGUUCGGAGGCAUGAUAGUGACGAUUUGGCUAGGGAUGAUGAACGAGAACAGAGUAUUAGUUAUAGCAGAUACUCUGUAUCCGAUCGUAGCAGAGAGAGAGAGAGGAGUAGGGAGAGGGAGGUGGAUAGGAUUCAGAGAAGGGAGAAAGAACAAGAAAGGAGCAGAAAUAGGGAUCGGAGAAGGGAUGGAGAAAGAGAAAGGAGUAGUGACAGGGAUUUGGUUAGGGACAGGAAAAGGGGAAUUGGACGAGACGAUAGCAGGGAAAGGAGAAGAGAAGAGCGACAUAGGAGCAGAGACACGGAGAACAGGGACAGAAAAAGGGAGGAAGAAAACGAUAGGAGCAGGGACCGGAUCAAGGCUGAUAGGGACAGAGAUAUGGAGAGGGAUCGAGAUAGGGACAGAGUUACAGACCGGAAAUGGGAGAGGCGAGAUGAUAGAGACAGGGAUAAGGGUCGAGAUAUGGAGAGGGAGAAAUAUGAAAAUCUUGAAGACAGCUAUGGAAAUCGAGAUAGGAAUAAACAUUCUGGUCGAUCAAGGCAUGAUGAAAAAGAAUACAACCAGGACAGAACAAGAAAAACUGAUCCCGCAAAGGUUCAGAGUUCAAACAGUUAUGCUGCAGAAGGGAUUGAAGACAGACCAAAAAGAGGUGAAGAUGAACAAGAAGACAAUGAAGAGAGGGCCACUUUUCAAUUUGCUGAGCAGGAAGAGGAAGAUCUGAACAGGAUCAAGGAGGAGAGUCGAAGAAGAAGGCAAGCAAUCUUAGAAAAAUACAGAAAUCAGCAGUCACAGCAAACAAAUGAGUUACAAAAAACUGAGUCACAGUUACAACAACGAAUUGAGCCUCAGCCUCUUUUGGAGGGUGUGGAGAAAGACAAAGAUCCUCAAGAUCAUGCGACCGAAUCAGCUGGUGUUGCCAAAUGUGGUGCAGAAACUGAUGAUGGCAGGAGUGAUGAAGAUGUGUCUCUUGCUGUAUUUUCAAUUUCACCUCAGCAGAAUGGUGAUGUUGCUUCUAGGAUGACGUCUGGUGCCACUGGGCUUGGAGAGGGUACUCCAAAGAGUGAAAGAUCUGAUGUCAUUUUCUGUGAUGAUAUCUUUGGUGAGACCCCAGUUGGAGUUAGAAAAUUGGGCAAAGGAGAUGGUGUUCGAAUUGAAAGGAGUGGUCUUCAUGACAACUGGGAUGAUGCAGAAGGGUACUACAGCUACCGGUUUGGGGAACUACUUGAUGCCCGAUAUGAAAUUACUGCUGCUCACGGAAAGGGUGUCUUUUCAACCGUAGUUCGUGCAAAGAACCUUAAAGUUGGUAACGGUGAACCCGAUGAAGUGGCAAUUAAGAUUAUACGUAGCAAUGACACUAUGUACAAGGCUGGUAUGACGGAGUUGGCCAUAUUGAAGAAAUUAGUAGGUCAAGAUCCAGAAAAUAAGCGCCACUGUGUUCGUUUUCUAUCAAAUUUCAAGUAUCGAAAUCAUCUUUGUUUAGUUUUUGAAUCUCUUCAUAUGAAUCUCCGUGAGGUCUUAAAGAAGUUUGGGCGCAAUAUUGGUCUUAAGCUAACUGCUGUGAGAGCAUAUGCCAAGCAACUUUUUAUUGCACUGAAGCAUCUUAAAAACUGUGGUGUUCUUCAUUGUGAUAUAAAGCCAGAUAACAUGCUGGUAAAUGAGGCUAAAAAUGUGCUGAAGCUUUGUGAUUUCGGUAAUGCCAUGUUUGCUGGAAAGAACGAAGUUACACCGUACUUAGUCAGCCGCUUUUACCGUGCCCCUGAAAUAAUUCUUGGCUUGUCUUAUGAUCAUCCAUUGGAUAUCUGGUCAGUUGGUUGCUGUUUGUACGAACUCUCUACCGGAAAAGUUCUUUUUCCCGGUGCUACAAACAAUGAUAUGCUACGUCUUCACAUGGAAUUGAAAGGCCCAUUCCCAAAGAAGAUGCUUCGGAAGGGAGCAUUUACCCAUCAACAUUUUGAUCAGGAUCUGAACUUCCAUGCCACAGAAGAUGAUCCUGUUACAAAGAAGACUAUCAAACGGGUGAUUCUCAAUAUAAAGCCAAAAGAUAUUGGAUCGAUUAUUACAGGUUCUUCUGGUGAGGAUCCAAAGAUGUUAGCUGAUUUUAAAGAUCUUUUAGAUAAAAUGUUUGUGUUGGAUCCAGACAAGAGGUUGACAGUAUCACAAGCUUUGAGCCAUCCAUUCAUCACUGGCAAGUGAACCCUGUUGCUGAUUUUCUGACUCCAGAAUUCCUGUUCCGCUAGAUAUUUGUACAUUUUGACCUAAUUCAUACAGUUUCUAAUCAUUGGGCAUUAUCUCUCUUCUCUGUGAUGGCCUGAGAGCUUUGACACAGUUUUGGCAUGGUUGAAGUCAAAAGGGGUGAUGUUUGGUCAGGAGUACUCAUUACUGGCGGGUUCUUUCAGUGGAGUGUACUGUUUCUAUUGAUAUGUGCCAUUGCUUUGAGGCAACACUCCAGUGCUUAGAUGCUUAAAAGGAACCCAGGAGAAGGUACCUUGGUUUGUUUAUUGGGAGAAUAUUGUGAGGGACUUGAAAGUAGAUGUCACUGUUUUGCAUGAUUUGUCUUUAUGUUGUUCCUACAUAAAAGCUUCUUUGUAAACUUGGAAAUUUAUUCAAACUGAAUCUAACAGUGUCACUGCCAUAGAUUUGAUAACUUUUUAUAAGUGUCUGUUUUUUUUUUUUGGGGUGUUUUCUAUUUGGUUUGCUUGUGAGAUUGUGAGAGUUGUUAAUUUGUUUAUUUACUAUAGUAUUAGUUAUCCAGUUUCAGACCCAAAAAAAGAGAAAGUAUUAGUUAUCCGGAAAGUGUAGGUGCAUGUACAUGCAUUCUGAAAUAUGCUGUGGUUUUUCUGGAACAUGGGUCAAUUGAUGACUUGUACCUCGCCAUGUUUGUUUUCUUAGGUGUCAACUUAAAUCCAUGUAAUUGUAUUCUGGCAUACAUGUUUUGUCGGUCUUUGUCUGUGCUUGAGGGUUUUCUAUGUUACUUCUUUUUGUUUGUCUUACAUUCAAAAUAUGCAUAUCCUAAUGAGAUUGCAUUGCAUAUGAUCCAUGGUCAUUCUGGAGGCUCUUGCACAGGAGGCAUGUGGCUGCUGCCGGAUCUAAAAGAUAUGAGGUAUGGCCCCCAUGCUCCUGCACUACCUGUAAGUAUAUUCAAAGCAUAAAUUUGUCUAUUUGGGUACUUUUUGUGUUUAUUGUGUCUAGUGUAAUUUUUCACUUCGUAUUCUUUGACUGGCUAUUUACUUCUUGAUUUUUGCUAAAUCCAUAGAUUGCAUUCUAAUUUGUGUAACAAAAUUCUUUAGACUUGUGUCUGGUGCCUGUAAUGCUGAGAUAUUCUGAUAUGAUCUAUCCAUUGAGAGGUUGUAUACCCUUAUGGCAGUGGGUGCAACCUUUUUUGGCUGUGUCUGUUUCAAUGAAUAGGAAUAUAAAAUACACAAUGAUUUAAAGUAAAUAGGGGCCUAACAUAAACAUAAUUUAAUUUGUGUAAAUAAACUAAAAUAUAGUUAAAGAAACUAAUUUCCUUUUAAACUAAUGUAGUUUGUGGAUGUGUGCGUUACCUUAUUUUAUUUCAUGAAAUUGUUGUCCAGCACUUUCGAACAGCUGUCUUCAGGUUCCUUCGGUAGGCUAUUUUUGUGUUGUAUCUGUUGGCUUAAAAAAUAUCUGGAUAUGUUCUUUUGGAAAGUGUUACUUGUGCAGGUGUGUUUUUAUUUUCUUGACUUCUCCAAUACGUUGGUUUUCUUACCACCCAAUCAUCUGUCUCAACCUUCUUAUCUUCAGUAUGUGGGAUUGUUUUUUUUGUUCAUCUAUAAAGAAUAGCUGCUCUAUUCAAAUUAAUUUCUCUUAGCUUAUUUGGUAUUCUUUUAUCACAAAGGAUAUCAUUGGCUUGUAUUUCGUUUGUCUAUUUGGUUAUGAUUCAUCCUUUUAUUUCUGCCAUUUUUCAUUACAAGAGACUAAGAUGAUGUGAACCUUGAAACCAUAAGAAACUUGCAUAUGACCUACAGCCGUUCAAAAGAACUCAAGAAAAUAACAUAAAAAGACAAAAUCCCAACUAAUAGGCUGCUAGAGUUCUUGUACAGUACCCCAAAAAUCCAUAAAAUUGUUAUCUGCUAUACAGUUGGGGGGCAUGCUACUUGGUGUGUCAUUUUGUCCCAUGGAAUAUGUACAUAUGAUAUCUGUUAGGCAGGUGUUUCUGCACCCAACAACAUUCAAGGAUCCAUAAAAGUUGAUUCAUUUAGCAAUUGGCACAUAUGUUCCAGAGUGGAAAAUGUUAGGGUAGGACGCCUGCAGGCUGUCCCCAAGGCAACUGAUUGAAAUUCAGUGGUGGGAUCCCCAGGGGGUGGGGGGAACAGUAUUUGGCUUGGAUUGCGUUUAUUUUGAUUAUAUGAGGGGAAGAAACUUGGUAACUCUUGAGAUCUGGAGAGCAGUGGCAUGCUCACCCAAUGGGUCUUUUGCCAAAUUCAUAGAAAUGAGGCGUGUUUUAAUCAAUUGCAGGCUCUGUUUCUUUUUGGUGAUGGGCUUAUUAGAUUUUAAAAAAAGCUACUGCUGUGUGCCCAUUUCUGACCCAAAUGUUGUGACUUGUUAUAUGCCUUGUCCAUUGUUUUCAAUUAUUACUUUCAGUAGAAGCUUUUGGAGUCAUUGAUAAACCCGAUUGUUAUAUCAGAAACGGGUGUUUAGCAUAUGGUGUAAUGAUUUGGAUUGGUGUGGAUGGUAAUUUUUUUCUUGAAAAUCAUAGACAUAUGCUGGUUUAAUAAAUAACAGAUGUAUUCUUGUUCUUGUUC